GAACGCUGGCGGCAUGCCUAAGACAUGCAAGUCGAACGAAGUGGCCCAAUGAAGCGGAGUGCUUGCACAAAGUUGAUUUGGAUUUCCACUUAGUGGCGCAAGGGUGAGUAACACGUGGGUUAUCUACCUCAGAGACUGGAAUAACAAUUGGAAACGAUUGCUAAUGCCGGAUGAUAUAUAAAACGAUACGUUGUUUUAUAUUAAAAGGAGCCUUUAAAGCUCUGGCGGUACAGGAUGGACCCGCGUCUGAUUAGCUAGUUGGUAAGGUAACGGCUUACCAAGGCGACGAUCAGUAGCCGACCUGAGAGGGUGAUCGGCCACAUUGGAACUGAGACACGGUCCAAACUCCUACGGGAGGCAGCAGUGGGGAAUAUUGGACAAUGGGCGCAAGCCUGAUCCAGCGACGCCGCGUGAAGGAAGAAGGCCUUCGGGUUGUAAACUUCUUUUACCAGGGACGAAGAACGUGACGGUACCUGGAGAAAAAGCAACGGCUAACUACGUG
rnacentral:rRNA from 1 species